CUCGCAUUACCACCUGAACUCCGCCUCCUGUCAGCAUUAUGCCUCUACACAAGCCAACUCAAAGCAUGAACUUCUCUAGGGACCCUUUGGACAGACUGACUCCCAUUACUGAAAUCCCUGUCAUGCCAACAUUUCAGUUUUGGAGUUACAGCUUAGAAGCUUAACAACUUUUCUAUUUAAACGACAUGGGUUUAAUACAAUUCAUCUACCUGGAAUUAGGAGAGAAAAGAAGAACCUCUAAAGCACAAAUUGGUGAAUGAACUACAUAAGAAGUUCAAGGAUUUAACAGCUGUUAAAUGCAGUCUAAUAAUGAGAUUACAGAGAAUGAGAAUGAAGGAAAAUUUAUUAAGAAAAUAAGUAUCAUGCGUAACUAUUAAGGUAACUAUCAAAAUCAUAAUAAUCCUUUUAUAUAUAUAUUAAUAUAACAGUCUGCAAACACCCUUCCUCUCCUGCUGCUAGUUAUCCUGCAUUCAAGUUAAGUUCAUUACCUUUAAAAAACCAAUUUCAUGUCAGUGUGGCUAAAAAACUCCCAGUACCAUUAAUUGCCAUAGGCUGUACAUAAAACUCUAUGGUUAAACUUUUGCAGCCUGAAAACGGUCUUCCUGAGUAUCAUUUUUUAUGUGAUAUGUUCCAACCAAAUGUAAGUUUUCAAUUGAUACUCAAGCUAAGAUGCCUUCAUAUAGAAGUAAUUUUGUAUCAAAUUUCUUCGUUUUAUUAACCUGCCAUUGGCCUUAAUUUGCCUUACCCUUUUCAUUCCCAAAUCAAAUCACCUAUUAUUCUGUUCAAGACUUUCCAAUGGUUUCUCACCUUAUUUAUAGUAAAACCAAAAUUCCUAUUAUGAUUGAUUUACAAAAGCAAUGUAGCACAUGAACAUAAAUGUAAAACCUAUAUAAUAUUAUGGCAAAUAAAAUCCAGGAAAAUAUGAAAGCAUAAUCAUAACCAAGUGGAGUUUGCCCCACGAAUGCAAGGUUGGUUUAAUAUAUGAAAAUCAAUGUAAUUCACCACAUUAACAGAUUA